rnacentral:ncRNA from 2 species
AGCAGGAUGCGGCGUUGACCCCGCAUCCGGCAAUCAACGUCUGAUGCGACGCUUGCGCGUCUUAUCAGACC